GUGUGUGAAGAAGCUCGGUUUGGCGGACGUCAUGUUUCGGAGGACGUAUGACUUGACCUUCGCCUCCCCAGCCCGUUGGAGAGUUGCAAAGAUGAGACAAGUUCGAAAUUGGGGAGAAAAAACGGGGGUAAUUUUUGUUUUUAAAUAUAUAAAAAAGGUUAUUAAAAAAAGGUUGCAUAAGUGACCGUGUCAGAACAAAAUGAACUCAAACGUUUUUCCAUUUGAACACUUGAUGUAAUUAAAUCAAACGUUUUACCAUUGGGACGCUUGAUUUAAUUAAGUAAUUAUUAUUUUCGGAUAUAAAGACGACGCUGUAUCAACAAAAAAACGGAUUGCAACUUGCAAAACAUCUGGGAAGAAAAUUACAGACGGAGGCGCACCAACUUCCAACUUUGUUCGCCAUUUGAAGCUGCACAAAGAACGGUCUGGUGUUGGAGAUCAUUCUACACACUGUGUUCUACUACCCAGUUUUACCUUUUUUGGAAGAGAGCGGGAAUGCAGAUGGCGCAAAAUUCUUCAAAUAUGUUGGUCCCAGGGAUCGGGCUGGCGAAUACGGUUCGCUUUGUGUGGCAGGACAAGGAGAUGGAGCCAUUCGGACGUGUAACUUUUGGAAGGACUGUCUUAAUGUGGAUCCUUAAACUGACAGGGAAGGAUGGGAACUUAUGAUGUGGCUUUACACACAGAAGAAAAACACGACGAGAUCCUGAAAGAGGUGAGAGAAGUGGGAGGUGCGAGGCCGAUGUGCCACUACGAGGUAACCAGCUUGCCAAAAAACAAUAAAAACAAUUUCAGGAUUGUAAAUGAACAUGUAUAGCCCGUACGUCAAGGACAAGGAGGUGAGGGCCUUUCUGGGGAGAUACAUGGAUGGCAUCUCCUCAGCAAGGCACCUCAAAGACUCCCUGGGUUUUUGGAACGGGAGGAGAGACUUCCAGGCCCUCCUCAGGGAGGACCCAAAGGGACUGGGCGGCUACCUUCAUCCUCCAGCUAUGUUCUCCCUGGGGGCUGACAGGGGGACAUUGUUUUAAGCACAGCCCCCUGUCUGGCCUACGGCCACAUCCUAGCCUCGUGCAGCACAAGAAAGUGCAGAUUUUGUGGAUCUGGAGAGCUGAGGUGAAGGACUGUGACGAGCUCAAGGCGUGCCACGGGUGUGGCUCGUCAGCACACACCCGUCAAAGGUCACACCUGUGACCUUGCCCGGCUCGUCAAAUGUCAUAUGUGUC